rnacentral:rRNA from 1 species
AUCUACAGCCACAUCACCUUGAAUGUGCCUGAACUCUGACCUCGGUAGCUGAGCAGGGUCAGGCAUGGUUAGUGCUUGGACGGGGCCUUCCUGAGGAUUAUUUCAAGCUCAGAUG